GCUGCCGUGACGUGGUGACACCUCGCCCCAAACCUGGGGUUUUCAGCUCGCUCUGGGAAAUCCUGGCUUCAGAGCCCAGCGCGCUGCACAGCGGAAGAUGGGUUUGUCCUUUCCCCAGCAGGGCUUUUGAGGAGGUUUUGAUUUUGUGAAUCUGCUGAAUUUGCAGCAGGAGUAAUGCCCAAGCCACAUCUGGCUCGUGAUGCACGUGGGAUCAGGCCGGGACUUUGGGAGGAGGUGGAUCUGGAUUCAGAGACAUGAUGCAGUUGGGCCCCGUGGCUGUUGUUACCUGCAUCCCCCUGAAGAACAACAUCUCCCCAGACUGGGAGCCUCCGUGGCGUUGAUUCCUGCUGGGGUA